UGCGAGUUAGAGUUCUGGUGAACUCACUAGUCUCAUAAGCUAGUUUAGGUCAGUUCGAUUCUGGCACUCGCUA
rnacentral:tRNA from 1 species